ensembl:lncRNA
GUGGGUGGCUAAGGGGCGGUGACGGGAGAAGGUGGGAGGAGUCCCCAGUCCUGUGUGGGUGGCUAAGGGGCGGUGACGGGAGAAGGUGGGAGGAGUCCCCAGUCCUGUGUGGGUGGCUAAGGGGCGGUGACGGGAGAAGGUGGGAGGAGUACCCAGUCCUGUGUGGGUGGCUAAGGGCGGUGACGGGAGAAGGUGGGAGGAGUCCCAAGUCCUGUGUGGGUGGCUAAGGGGCGGUGACGGGAGAAGGUGGGAGGAGUCCCCAGUCCUGUGUGGGUGGCUAGGGGGCGGUGUCGGGAGAAGGUGGGAGGAGUCCCAAGUCCUGUGUGGGUGGCUAAGGGGCGGUGACGGGAGAAGGUGGGAGGAGUCCCCAGUCCUGUGUGGGUGGCUAGGGGGCGGUGUCGGGAGAAGGUGGGAGGAGUCCCAAGUCCUGUGUGGGUGGCUAAGGGGCGGUGACGGGAGAAGGUGGGAGGAGUACCCAGUCCUGUGUGGGUGGCUAAGGGGUGGUGACGGGAGAAGGUGGGAGGAGUCCCCAGUCCUGUGUGGGUGGCUAAGGGGCGGUGACGGGAGAAGGUGGGAGGAGUCCCCAGUCCUGUGUGGGUAGCUAAGGGGCGGUGACGGGAGAAGGUGGGAGGAGUCCCCAGUCCUGUGUGGGUGGCUAAGGGGCGGUGACGGGAGAAGGUGGGAGGAGUCCCCAGUCCUGUGUGGGUGGCUAAGGGGCGGUGACGGGAGAAGGUAGGAGGAGUCCCCAGUCCUGUGUGGGUGGCUAAGAGGAGUCCCCAGUCCUGUGUGGGUGGCUAAGGGGCGGUGACGGGAGAAGGUGGGAGGAGUCCCCAGUCCUGUGUGGGUGGCUAAGGGGCGGUGACGGGAGAAGGUGAGAGGAGUCCCCAGUCCUGUGUGGGUGGCUAAGGGGCAGUGAUGGGAGAAGGUGGGAGGAGUCCCCAGUCCUGUGUGGGUGGCUAAGGGGCGUUGACGGGAGAAGGUGGGAGGAGUCCCCAGUCCUGUGUGGGUGGCUAAGAGGAGUCCCCAGUCCUGUGUGGGUGGCUAAGGGGCGGUGACGGGAGAAGGUGGGAGGAGUCCCCAGUCCUGUGUGGGUGGCUAAGGGGUGGUGUCGGGAGAAGGUGGGAGGAGUCCCAAGUCCUGUGUGGGUGGCUAAGGGGCGGUGACGGGAGAAGGUGGGAGGAGUCCCCAGUCCUGUGUGGGUGGCUAUGGGGCGGUGACGGGAGAAGGUGGGAGGAGUCCCCAGUCCUGUCACACAUCAAACCAUCACUCUUUUCAUUAAUGUCUUCUCUUCUCUUUCCUGUUCUUCUCUGUUCUGUCUCUCAGCUUGUGGCCACCAUGUUUGCUUCUUUCUGGCGCAGUCUCUCUUUCUGUCAGGGCAGGGAAAAGGGGUUAUUGUUUUUC